UACGGAGGGUGCGAGCGUUUGUCCGGAAUCAUUGGGCGUAAAGGGCGCGUAGGUGGCGGGACAAGCGUGCGGUGAAAGCCUGGGCUCAACCCCGGGUCGGCCGUGCGAACUGUUUUGCUUGAGCACUGUAGAGGCAGGCGGAAUUCCGGGUGUAGCGGUGGAAUGCGUAGAGAUCCGGAAGAACACCGGUGGCGAAGGCGGCCUGCUGGGCAGUAGCUGACACUGAGGCGCGACAGCGUGGGGAGCAAACAGG
rnacentral:rRNA from 1 species